rnacentral:lncRNA from 1 species
UUAUUCCUGUUUCUUUCUCACUUUAAGGCUUGGACAACAUUGCUAUGAUGAUCUGUUAUUCCUUUUUUCUUUCUCACUUUGAGGCUUGGACAACAAUGCUAUGAUGAUCUAUUAUUCCUUCUUCUCUCUCACUUUGAGGCUUGGACAACAAUGCUAUGAUGAUCUUGUUUCCUUUUAUCUUUCUCACUUUGAGGCUUGGACAACAUUGCUAUGAUGAUCUGUUAUUCCUUCUUCUCUCUCACUUUGAGGCUUGGAC